GCGAUAAGGUGAAGAGCACGCAGGAAGGAAAGAUCAGCUCUACGGAAGUGGUUAUAGCUCGCAGAAAGGAAAACCAAAUAUUGUGAGUAAUUUGUAAAAUGAGAUUGUGAAAAGUAACUAAUAAACAACUAUUUGUAGUUUGAGCUGCCGCAAAUAAACGUGUUGCUUCAAGAAGUGGUUCUAGUCCGAACAAACUCAAAAAUAUUUGACAUCGGAUUAACCUUUAAAGCGCUAUGGCCGAUCCAAACGCGAAAGAUCUGGACUUCACCGAAACUCCGUGUGCAGCUUGCGAUGACGUGUCCACCGAAAAUGAGCGGAUGAUAGGGUGUGACGGCUGUCAGCAGUGGUUCCACAUCCGGUGCGUCGGAAUAUCGUCCGAUGCGGAGUUAGAGAAAAAGUGGUUCUGCGCCAAUGACAAGUGUCAACAAACCAAGAAGAAGAAGAAGACGAAUCGCGCCAAGAAAAACGGUGACGAUUCGGACCGCUCCAGCAUCAAAUCCGAUGCAGCGCUCACUCUAGAGCAAAAACUGAAAGCGAUGGAGGAAGGCCAAAAGCGAAUGGAGCAGGAGCUGGAAGCGGAAAUGACGUUGAAGCGGAAAGAACAGGAGAUUAGGCAGUCCAUGGAAAGGAAGCGGAUGAUGCUGGAGAAACAAAUGCGCGACGAAGAAGAGGAACGAGAGCAACUGCUUCAAGAAGAAAUUCUACGGGAGCGGAAGUUGCAAUUAGAGCGUAUGAGGACCAGGCAGCAAUCGUUCGAGGCCAGCAUGAAGUGUCUGGAUAACGAAAUGGCCAAGCUGAAAACUUCAUCGGAAAAGAAAAAAGUGAAGCGUGAUGCCGAUGUAGGUGAAGGUGUGUCCGGAGUCAAUCGGACACCGUUACGAAAUCCGGAGGUCGGUAGGCUGACGGAGCAAAACUUGAAAAGGUUGAAGAAUGUCGAAGUUGGCGCGUUCGAGGAAGGUUCCGAAACCGAUGAUGGCGAUGAUGAAACCAAUUCCGAUGAUCACUCAGAAGAAGACAGCAGUGAAUCUGAUGAAGAAUCCAAUGCUUUGACGACCAGGAAAAGGACAGAGCUGAGCGGCAAGGGUAAGCACACUACUGAUAAUCUAAGUCAUCACGGGCUGGGGCAGCCCCGAAUUGGGCCGACUAAAGUUCAGUUGGCUGCCAGAAGCGGUAUAAGUAAAAAGCUACCCAUCUUCUCUGGAAAACCAGAAGAAUGGCCGCUAUUCUACGGGACAUAUCAAGCGUCGAAUGAAGCCUGCGGUUACACCGACGUAGAGAAUCUCGUACGUCUACAAGAAUGCUUGAAGGGACCAGCCCUGGAAAUGGUUCGAGGACAGUUACUUCUUCCGAAAUCAGUCCCAAAAGUUAUCGUGAAGUUGCGUCAGCUGUACGGCCGACCGGAACAGCUUUUGCAGAGCCACUUGGAGAAGGUACGCCGAUUGGAACCCCCAAAGGCAGGGAAGCUAGCCAGCUUCAUACCGUUCGGCACAGCCGUGGAACAACUUUGCGAACACCUAGAAGCUGCCGAUCUAAAGCAGCACUUAGUGAAUCCACUGCUGAUACAAGACCUCGUGGAGAAAUUGCCGGACAACGAUAAGCGCGAGUGGGUACGGUUCAAGCGGGGUAAGAAGAAGGUGACACUUCGUACCUUCACAGACUUCUUGUCCGAAAUAGUGUCGGAAGCAUGUGAGGCGAAUGUUAGUUUUGAAUACAAGUCUACCAGCGAAGGACGUCUUGGCGCGGGAACGAGUAAGUCAAAAGGUGCAAUGUUCAACCACAGCGAAAUAAUUAGCCAGCCGAAUGAGCCGCCAACUGGUGGUGCAGAACGGAGAAAAGCGUGCAGAGUCUGCAAUCGGACCGAUCAUCGUCUACGUUACUGCCAGGACUUCAGAAAUUUAGGAUACCCGGACCGUAUGAAAGUCGUUGAACAGUGGAAACUGUGUCAAGUGUGUUUAAACGAACAUGGCACUGCACAAUGUAAGUUUAAGUUGCGUUGCAAUGUCGGUGAGUGUAGACAGGCACACAAUUCUCUUCUACAUCCUACGGAUAGUGUGAUCGGUACUAGUGCGCAUAUUCGAACCAAAAGCGUGAUGAUGUUUCGAAUGAUUCCGAUCCGACUGCACUGCGGAGAAAAAUCGAUCACUGUGCUAGCAUUCCUGGAUGAAGGCGCGUCGGUGACACUUGUUGAACGGAAGCUUGCGGACCGUUUAGGGAUAGUUGGUAUCCACGAGAAACUCACCAUUCAGUGGACAUCCGAUAUCGAGCGCGUCGAACGAGAUUCAACGAGGACAAAUGUAUGGGCAUCAGCCGUAGGAACAGAGGAGAAGAUGCUGCUGACUGCAGUCCACACUGUCAGCAAGUUGAUGCUGCCAGCGCAGACACUAGAUGCUAGGGAGCUUAGUCGACAAUACAGUCACCUUCGAGGAAUUCCUAUUUCCUCAUACAGUGGACGGCCGGAGAUGCUCAUCGGGUUGAAUAAUCUGCACUCUUUCGCCCCACUUGAGGCAAAAGUUGGUUCAAUCAUGGAACCAAUUGCUGUGAAGUGUCAACUCGGAUGGACGGUAUACGGACCAAAGCAAUCAUCAACAGCAGCAUCAGGAAGUGGAUACCUAAAUGUCCACCAGAAGAUAACGAAUGAAGAUCUCCACGAUCUCUUGAGGAACCAUUAUGCCGUAGAAGAGUCAGUGGUGACAGUUCAGCUCGAGUCUGCCGAAGAUAAGAGAGCUCGUGAAAUUUUGGAGCGUACUACGAAACGUGUCGGAGAGUGUUUCGAAACUGGCUUGUUAUGGAAGACCGACAAUCCUUCGUUUCCAGACAGCUACCCGAUGGCUCUACGUCGACUACAGCAGUUGGAGAGAAAGCUCGAGAAGAAUCCUAAUUUGCAAAAAAAUGUCAGCAAGCAGAUUGUAGAAUAUCAGGAGAAGGGAUACGCCCAUUUGGCCACUCAGGAUGAACUCGCUGCAACAGACCCGAAAAAGGUGUGGUAUCUUCCACUAAACGUUGUGCUGAAUCCAAACAAGCCUGGUAAAGUACGUCUCGUGUGGGAUGCUGCGGCUACUGUACAAGGCGUGUCUCUGAACAGUCAGUUGUUGAAGGGGCCCGAUAUGCUAGUUCCGUUGGUGGCCGUUAUCAUAGGAUUCCGGGAACAUCGAGUGGCCGUAGGUGGUGAUUUGCGCGAGAUGUACCACCAAAUCAAGAUCGUUGACCAGGAUAAACAGUUCCAGCGUUUCCUUUUUCGAGAUAAUCCUAAGGAAACCCCUCGUGUGUACGUCAUGGAUGUCGCAACAUUUGGGUCGACGAGUUCACCUUGUUCGGCGCAGUAUGUGAAGAACUGCAACGCAGAGGACUACGCUGAACAAUUCCCAGACGCAGCGGCUGCUAUUGUUAAACGCCAUUACGUCGACGACUACUUCGACAGCGUCGACACCAUUGAAGAAGCUAUAAGUCGCGCAGAAGAAGUGAAGUUUGUUCACCAAAAAGGAGGCUUCGAAAUAAGGAACUGGAUUUCAAACUCGACGGAAGUGCUCCACAGUCUAGGAGAGAAUGGAACGGUUUCAGCAGUCCACUUCACUGAAGACAAAACUACGGCGGAAGAGCGAGUACUUGGGAUGAUUUGGAAUCCGCAAGACGACGAGUUUUCCUUUUCAACGAAACACCGAGAGCAGCAUCUGCCGUACUUCAACGGAGAAAAACGACCGACAAAACGGGCGGUGCUAAGCUGCGUUAUGGGGUUUUUUGACCCCUUGGGUCUACUGGCUCCCUUCACGAUUCAUGGCAGGAUCAUUGUUCAACAAUUAUGGCGUAGCGGCUGCGAAUGGGACGAAAUUAUCGACGACGAGUGUUGGGAAAUGUGGAUGCGUUGGAUCGACCUUUUGCCGCAGGUGGAGAACAUCCGUAUUCCGAGGUGUUACCUUGGAAGUUACUCGUCCUCUGAAGUCCAAUCAGUUGAAGCACACAUCUUUACUGAUGCGAGCGAACAUGCGUAUGGAUGUGUCGCUUUCCUAAGAGUAGUCGUCGGAGGAGUUAUUCGCUGUUCCCUAGUCAUGUCCCGGUCAAAAGUAGCGCCGUUGAAGAAACAGUCAGUACCACGUCUAGAACUGAUGGCGGCCGUGCUUGGCGCCCGAAUGAGCCGAACGUUAGUAGAUACGCACUCAUUGAAAAUUAACCGCUGUGUACUGUGGACGGAUUCACGGACGGUGUGGAGUUGGAUCCGAUCUGACCAACAUCAAUAUAAACAGUUUGUUGCGUUCAGAAUUGGGGAGAUUUUGGAACUGACACGCGCAACGGACUGGCGAUGGGUACCAACCAAGCAAAAUCCCGCGGACAUGCUGACAAAGUGGCAACGAGGAGCACUGAAUAGUGACGGAGAAUGGUUCAAAGGGGCAUUAUUCCUAUAUGAAUCAGAAGAUCAAUGGCCGGUCAUCGAUAUACCGGUAGAGCAAACAAACGAAGAAGCUAGGGGUUUUGUGUCCUUUCACGGUGUUAUCGACGUCCAUCGAUGCUCUCGUUGGACGAAGCUCCUAAGAGUAACAGCAUACGUAGUCAGGUUUAUCGACAACUGCAAACACAAAGUAGCUGCCCAGCAGUUGGUAACAGUGAGAGCUUCAAAGAACCAACAGCGCGUGAUCGCUGCUCCGACUGUCCAGCGUCCACUAGAGAAGGAGGAGUUUCGUAAAGCAGAGGUCAUACUAUGGAGGCAGGCACAGCACGAAAGUUUCCCAGAUGAGAUGAGCAUUCUCUCGAAGAACAUUAACAAGAAAUCAGGAGAUGUUUUCGAGUUGGUGAAGAAAACGAGCUGCAUUUACAAGCUAUCGCCGAUGUUAGACGACAACGGAAUUCUUCGUAUGGGUGGUAGAAUGGAGAUGUCGGGAGAAAUGCCAUUCGACAAGAAGUUCCCGAUCAUUCUACCUAGGAAACAUGCGACAACAGAGAAGGUGAUCCAGUUCUACCAUGAGAAAUUCGGGCACGCCAAUCGAGAGACGGUAACAAACGAGCUUCGCCAGAGAUUCUGGAUUCCAAACGUACGCGCAGCGAUUCGGAAAGUUGUAAGUGAAUGCAGUUGGUGCAAAGUACAUCGAUGCCGUCCACAAGCGCCAUUGAUGGCUCCACUUCCUGUCUCACGGACUACUGCAUACCUGCGACCUUUCCAUUCGGUGGGUAUCGACUAUCUUGGACCUAUAGAAGUUACCGUUGGACGCAGGAAGGAGAAAAGGUGGGUGGCGGUGUUCACCUGUCUAGCUAUGCGGGCAAUACAUCUUGAAAUCGUCGCAAGUUUGUCAACCCAGUCCUGUCUUAUGGCGAUCCGAAGGUUCAGCUGCCGGCGAGGUGUUCCGAGUGAAAUCUUUUCGGAUAACGCGACAUGUUUCAGAGGAGCCAACAAUGAAAUGCAGAAAAUUUCUCGUGAGUGUGCUGAUAAAGUGGUGAGCGCUGCAACAGCCUGGAAUUUCAAUCCACCAGCUACACCGCACAUGGGAGGCAUUUGGGAGCGGAUGGUGAGGUCCGUGAAAGAGGCAAUGAAGGCGCUAGAUGACGGACUCACAAUGUCAGAUGAAGUACUAAUGACAACCAUCGCUGAAGCAGAGGAUAUGAUAAACGCACGGCCCUUAACGUACAUGCCACAGGAGAUAUCCUGCGAGGAAGCGAUCACUCCGAACCACUUUCUUCGUGGGUUCGUCACCAAUUCUGACAUGUUAGUCGACGAGACGGUCAACACGGCAAGUUGUCUUCGUGAUGCCUACAAGCGUUCUCAACAACUAGCGAAUCAAAUGUGGCAGAGAUGGUUGAAGGAGUACUUGCCGUCGAUCAACAGACGGACGAAGUGGUUUGAAGAUAAGAAGCCAUUACAAGUGAAUGACCUAGUGUUUCUUGUGGACGGAAAGAAUCGGAAGAACUGGAUUAGAGGAAUCGUGGAAGAAGUGUUGCCAGGACCGGAUGGACGAGUAAGGCAGGUUAUAGUGCGCACGGCUCAAGGAGUGUACAGGCGAGCGGUGGCGAACUUGGCGGUGUUAGAAAUCUGAUGGUAAAACCUGAAACUUCGAGGAACUACAGGUGUUACGGGCUGGGGCGUGUUAACACCGCGUGUUGCCCGGUGUACCCAACUAAUACAGCGACGGUCGAGUUGCAGUGUAGUUGGCAUACCUUUUCUGUUAUUGCCGACUUUACAUCGUCUCGUUUGCUAUUUCAUUGAGGGGAAAUCAUAACAAUAAUAAAACAAGUAGAAGGAAGAAUUGUAAAUAGAAAUUGUACAAACGGCCAUUGGAAAAUUAGCCAAGCAGUUGAUUGCUAUUUCGAUAGUAAAACUUUUAAAGUAGUUAGAAGAAUUUAAUCAAGUGAAAUUUGUGAAUUUGGAGUAGUGCGAUUUCGGAUAGUAAAAUUUGAAGGUUCCCAAAUCGGCGAAACCGGUAUCCUUUCUGCCCGACGGUGUCCUAGAAGAGAGAAGUUUUUUGAAUAAUAUACUCUGUGGAAUAGCCUGGCAAAGAAAGCGAUAAGGUGAAGAGCACGCAGGAAGGAAAGAUCAGCUCUACGGAAGUGGUUAUAGCUCGCAGAAAGGAAAACCAAAUAUUUUUGAGCUGCCGCAAAUAAACGUGUUGCUUCAAGAAGUGGUUCUAGUCCGAACAGU